AAAGAAAAUAACAAUGAUUCCCUCAGUAACGGCGAGCGAAGAGGGAUAAGCUCAAAUUUUAAACCUGUUGGGUUUCACUUAACAGAGUUGUAUUUUGAAGAAACGUUUUCUGCAUCCAGGAUUAGCCUAAAUCCUUUGGGAUAAGGUAUCAUGGAGGGUGAGAAUCCCGUUCAUGGUUAAUCUUAAGGAAGCUCUACGAUACGUUUUCCAAGAGUCGAGUUGUUUGGGAUUGCAGCUCAAAAUGGGAGGUAAAUUUCUCCUAAGGCUAAAUAUUGGCGAGAGACCGAUAGCGAACAAGUACCGUGAGGGAAAGAUGAAAAGAACUUUGAAAAGAGAGUUAAACAGUACGUGAAAUUGUUGAAAGGGAAACGAUUGAAG
rnacentral:rRNA from 1 species